CCGUGGAUUAACUGUGUGACCACAUCAAGGUGUUGUGUCACAUAUUUUGGGUCAACUUGGCCAUGUAUCGCGUCGGGCCUUAAGCCCAAGUUGUGGGCGCCUUCCCUGGUCGCCUUCAACCAUAUGACGCCUCUCUUUCAUAUUCUACAUAGCCACCGCUGUUGAGACUUGAGUUUUGUUUUGAGUUUAGUUUUUCAUAGAGAAAUUAAAUCAUUCAUUGUAACUUUGGUGACAAAUCCUUUUACAGUGAUCUAGGGCCCCCGUUCUUGAUCUCCUCCACUGUGUUGAUUAGUCCUUUAGAACCGAGUUCUUGAACCCUUUAUUGAUAUUUGUGUCAUUCAUAUUUGCAAUUCAGUUUGCGUGUUUAAACCUUCUUACUUGUGUUCUUCGAUUCGCUUGCAUGAAAAGCCUUCUUGGUGAGGUCAAUCAAGUUGUGCUUGGUUAAUAACUAACAGAGUAGUGGUGUAACAGUUGCAGGGUUCGAAUUGCGUCUAAUUUGAAGCCGGAUCGCCAAUAUUGAGAUCUCCAUAAAUCAAACUUACUAGUGACCUCUUAGAAGAUCAGGCCUAUACCACAAGAAGGCUAGGGUAGCCCGCGGCGGUAGCCAUGGAGUCAAUCGUUAUGACCUCCUUGUCUUGAUCGCCCUCAGUGGAAUCUGCAUCAAUGUUAGCAGCAAGGGCUAAAUCAUCUUCACAUCACUAGCACUUACAUAUCCAUCCUCGGUAGCAAUAAAGGCACAACGACUGGGCACUCCUUCAGGUAUGUCCCAUGCCUUUGCAUCGGUGGCAAAUCAUUUUAGAGCUGAG
rnacentral:lncRNA from 1 species